GUUCACGAACGGUUCGCGACAUCUCUAAUGUUUAAAUCUUCAUUUAUUGCGAAGGAUAAAUCGACGGUUCAGCUCCUCUAGGGAGCUUUCAUCAGGACACAUCUUUAGAAUUAUUGCUACAUUAUUUUGUCUGGCUUUUAUAACUCGCUAAUAGGGUUUCUUUUGAAACUUUGUUUCCUUUUUGUUGUAUCACACUGUUAGAAUGACCACUUAGAUCAGCUGUGCAUUAUCUGCACAAAGUAGUCACAAAGUGUUGCUAAGGUUGAAUGUUUCACAGAUACACUAAACAAUAUAUGGUGUUUAUAUUUUCUGUG